AUACGGAGGAUGCGAGCGUUAUCCGGAUUUAUUGGGUUUAAAGGGAGCGUAGGUGGGAUAUUAAGUCAGCUGUGAAAGUUUGGGGCUCAACCUUAAAAUUGCGGUUGAUACUGGUUUCCUUGAGUACGGUACAGGUGGGCGGAAUUCGUGGUGUAGCGGUGAAAUGCUUAGAUAUCACGAAGAACUCCGAUCGCGAAGGCAGCUCACCGGGCCGGAACUGACACUGAUGCUCGAAAGUGCGGGUAUCAAACAGGAUUAGAUACCCUGGUAGUCCGCACAGUAAACGAUGAAUACUCGCUGUUUGCGAUACACGGUAAGCGGCCAAGCGAAAGCGUUAAGUAUUCCACCUGGGGAGUACGCCGGCAACGGUGAAACUUAAAGGAAUUGACGGGG
rnacentral:rRNA from 1 species